UUUCCGGUUCGGCGCUUCGUUUGAAUAAUAGUAUAUGGUUUGAAUAGUCGGGAGUGUCUAGCGUUACGUCUAGACGUAACAAUAGAAGCUGUGAAAGUUACGUCCAGACGUAAAAAUGAAAAAUGUUAAAGUUACGUCCAGCGUGACUACAAUACAAAACCGGCUUGUUAAACCCUCCGAACUGAUCGGCAGCUGUGGCGUAGUUUGCUAGCGCAGCACAUAAAGGACGGGGGUGGGGGUGUGGC
rnacentral:lncRNA from 1 species